rnacentral:sRNA from 2 species
AUGUCCUAAAGCCUACCGGGGCGUUUGUAGUCAUAAAUGUUCAUAUAACUCUACCCAAGAACAACGCGCUUCAAUGCCGAGGGAAAAGGGAAACAACAGUGGGAACAUGAAGAUAUAGCCAUACAAUACACCCAGAACCAUUUUCGCUAUUAUGUCUUAUUUAUGAACGGGAGCCUUCCAAUCAAACCUUCUAUGGGUUUGCCAGUCAGUAUCUUUCCCAAAGUGUUUUCUACCAUCAUUAAUGUCUCGGGAAGAACUUCUCCGCCAGCAAUCAUGAGCUUUGCGAUUAAAGGCGCCAGGGUUAGCGCAUUCGUUUGUUUCGAUGGUCGCUGCCAUCCCUCAAGAUAUGGCAACCGUUCUUGCUCUAUUUUAUCGAUUAGAAAGGUUACUGAUGCAUGAACUUAGGCUCCUAAAUUUCCUUACCGAAGAAAAUCCUGAUCCAAUCAACUCGAGGGUUUCCUGUAUCAGGGUUCCCAAAAACACUUAAAUACUGCGCCGUUUCAGUAUAGCUAAUUAUAUCGUCCUUCGCAUUAAAUGUGAAAUCAGGAUUUCGUGCUCUUUCCGUUUUGAUUCGAUUUAACCGUGCGUGAGCAGCUGCUCCCAAGCUUACAGUGCGGUCGUCGAUGAAGUAGUCGAGGACGCUCUGCCAAAUCGUCGCGUUGAAGCUGAUAUUGUCACCAAAGUAAAUGUCGCCUCGUGAUAAACUUGCGUCGUGUUCGGCAAACAAAUCGUGAUUAGCGAGAUCAUCUAGGUUGAAGUAGAGCUGAAGUGGAUUUUUCGCCCCUAUCAUCCCCCCGGUGCCAGCAACAAGUGUGAGAUCAAAUCCAACAUUCAACCCCUCCAAUAUGCCUUUAAGCAAGGUCGGAUAAGUCAUUCGCUUUCCGUUGCGAGGAAGUAUGCCAUGAUUUGCGAGACUGUUUAAUGCAGGGCAUGGUCCACGGACUGUCAACGUUGUCAGAAUUACAGAAUUUUCUUGCAAAAGACUUUUUGGUCUAAUAGCUUACCGUCAUCUGGUCCUGGUGGAUGCCAUCGCGUGUAAUCCACUGCUGCAGACACCAGACGAAAGCUCACAAAAACCAUCACAAUCACGGUGGUCAACAUGACUUGCGAUAACCCCAUUUGCGAUGUGUGGAUCUCCGUCUUUUGAGCUUGGAACGGAAAGAAAACUGCACGAAAGAAUCAAUCCCAUGCGAUUUCACUUGCUGUCAAUGAUAUAUGUGCGAUAUUCUUCAUAAAGAAGCGAAGAUGGUGACACCGGUGAGGUAAGAGUCUGGAAGCAAGGCGAGCGAUUAACUAUCCUCAUCCGUAUCAGAGUCAAGUAUCCAUUUCACCCGGAAAUUGAACAGGAUCUACAAACUAAAGCCUUCCGUAAUCUCCCUGAAAGGGAAUUGAGAUAUUGGUGGAGAUCCUCAGCACAAUUCCCAGCACUGGUUAUUUGCUUGGCUCGAGGUAGGUAUCAUAUCAUAGGUAUCGGAUGUGAAUGACCCACGGGAAGCCAUUCUGCCAAUUCCUCGCCAACUACGUGGUAGCGCAUGUCCUCUAACCUUCGAGCGCAUCAGAUGGACUCACUUCAACAAGCGGGUUGAUAAUCGACCCACUGUCGAUCAGAUCAUCUCAGCGUUUAGAGCGCCACUCGCAUAAUUAGGGAUGGUUUGAAUAGUGAUGGGCUCCUUCAGCCUAAAAACAUAUGGCAUAUUCUCUGGGAAGCCAUGGAUAUGAGGUUGAAUUGCCAAUGAUACUAAAUAAAGGAUCGGAAUGCUUAUUUUUGCUCACUGAUUUGAAUAUCGGGUACAUGUGAGGGAAUGCUUGGAGUCAAAUAAUACAACGCUACAGCAGGAGUUAUCAACCUGAUAUACGUUUAUCACAUAAAAGUAAGUGCUUGUGGUGGAAACAGACCCCGAGCCGUCACUUGAACUACCUGAUAGUGCAGCAUAGAUUGCAUUCCGCAAUGUGAUUGAAGAUCUAGAGAAAGUAAACUGGAAAGAAAUUUAGAAUGCAACCG